rnacentral:rRNA from 1 species
CCUAGGGAGGUAGCAGUGGGGAAGAGUGCACAAGGGGGGAAACCCGGAGGCAGCAACGCCGCGUGAAGGAAGACGGUUUUCGGAUUGUAAACUUCUAUCAAUAGGGAAGAAAGAAAUGACGGUACCUAAAUAAGAAGCCCCGGCUAACUACGUGCCAGCAGCCGCGGUAAUACGUAGGGGGCAAGCGUUAUCCGGAAUUACUGGGUGUAAAGGGAGAGUAGGCGGCAAGGUAAGCGAUAUGUGAAAGCCUUAAGCUUAACUUAAGGAUGGCAUAACGAACUAUCUAGCUAGAGUACAGGAGAGGAAAGCGGAAUUCCUAGUGUAGCGGUGAAAUGCGUAGAUAUUAGGAAGAACACCAGUGGCGAAGGCGGCUUUCUGGACUGAAACUGACGCUGAGGCUCGAAAGCGUGGGGAGCGAACAGGAUUAGAUACCCGAGUAGUC